rnacentral:lncRNA from 1 species
CUCUUCUUCUUCUUCUUCUUCCUUCCUCUCGCCAGUUGCUGCUUCACCCACCACCACACUGCCGCCCCACGCCCUACUCACCACCACCUCUUGGCCACCGAACCCCCACCACCCACUGCUCGUCCGACAAGCCGUCUCACCGUUGAGCCCGACGAGCUGUCUUGCCGUCCGCGCCACCGUGAGGCACCGCCGCCGUCCCCAAGCCACCAUCACCACCUCUUGCUGCCGCUUGCUCGGCCGUUCAGGCCAUCGUUGCUCCGAACCGUCACCACCUUCGCCCGAAUUGAGCUCUUCCCCCCUUGGCC